UUCUCUCUGCCGCUGUGAACUUGUUCAUCCUCCUGCAUCUCCCCUUCGCAACCUUCCUCCUCAUCCUCUUCCGUGUAGCCUCUCCGUGAACUUUCAGCUCUGCAUUUCCAUUCCAGUGCUUCGAUCUGCCCAAUACUGCAUCUGCAACCAAAGAUCUGCCACUGUUUAUAUGCUUCCACUCCCCCUAUUGAGCAGUACUGCAUUCAGAGAAUUUUUGUUAGCUUCUAGUGAAACAAUGUCAGGGUUUUCAGAGAAGCGAAAGCCAAGUUACCAUCUCAGCUUGAGGCCAUGGUCUCCCAUAUGAUCAGGUGUUGAAAAUUACAAUGAAGUUAGUCAAAGAUACUGAUAUGACGGGUAUUUGGUGUACCCUGGAUGACUCUCACAAGGCAGAUUUCAUUAAAAUGUUUAUGGAUGGCAACUGAGCAUUAGGGAGUUUAGUAUGAUAUGAACUUUAGUAAUCUUUUUGUUUUCUUCCCUAAAGUCAGGACAAAUGUUUAAUUUGGGAUUUCAUGUU
rnacentral:sRNA from 1 species